rnacentral:rRNA from 1 species
AUACGGAGGGUGCAAGCGUUACACGGAAUCACUGGGCGUAAAGCGCGCGCAGGCGGCUAUUUAAGUUGGAUGUGAAAGCCUACGGCUCAACCGUAGAACUGCAUCCAAAACUAUUUAGCUAGAGUGUGGGAGAGGAAGAUGGAAUUAGUUGUGUAGGGGUAAAAUCCGUAGAGAUAACUAGGAAUACCAAAAGCGAAGGCAAUCUUCUGGAACACUACUGACGCUGAGGCGCGAAAGCGUGGGGAGCAAACGGGAUUAGAAACCCUAGUAGUCC